AUUACCUAACGCUUUAAUCCGUUUCAGAUGGGAAAUUUUGGUGAUCUCUUAGGUACCGAAUUGUUGAAAUUCGAUCUUAAGGUUCGCAAAACUUCAACUCUGCAUCCAAAUUUCUGAAAAUUCUCACUAGGAAACUCCCUAUUCGACUUCUCGUUGUCUUGAUUUGUAAUCACACUCAGAAGCUACUGUGAAUCGAUUUCGACGACGCUCCAUUGAGCAAUGCAGAGCAUCAAACAGCUCCAUAAGCAAUCCAGCAUCAAUCACCGGCGGGAUGAAGAAGUUCCGACGGUUCCAACAUCGCCGUAUUCGCCAAAAGCUCUCAAACACCCCAGAUCUCUGCCCAGAUCCAUCAAUUACCUCUUCCGAGAGCAGAGGCUUCUGUUUGUUUUUGUCGGCAUUUUAAUUGGCUCUACGUUCUUCAUUCUCCAGCCCACUCUGUCCCGUAUUGGCCCCUCUGAAGCUGGUUCUGCAAUUCGCAGAUCGUUUUCUACAAGUUUGACGAGCAGGGACGAGGUUUCGGGGUCGGGGAUAUAUGGACUUGGUAAAACGGGAGGCAGAAUCCCCGUCGGUAUUGGCCGCCGUAGGUGGAGGAUUGUUGUCACCGGUGGAGCUGGAUUUGUGGGAAGUCAUCUUGUGGAUAAGCUAAUUGAACGAGGGGAUGAUGUGAUUGUCAUUGACAACUUCUUCACUGGUAGAAAGGAGAAUUUGGUGCAUCAUUUGCGAAAUCCGCGAUUCGAGCUCAUUCGACAUGAUGUGGUUGAGCCAAUUCUUUUGGAGGUGGAUCAAAUAUAUCACUUGGCUUGUCCAGCUUCUCCUGUUCAUUACAAGUACAAUCCUGUCAAGACUAUUAAGACAAAUGUAAUGGGUACCUUGAAUAUGCUUGGCUUGGCAAAGAGAAUUGGGGCUAGAUUUCUACUUACGAGUACGAGUGAGGUUUAUGGUGAUCCACUUGAGCAUCCUCAGAAGGAAACAUAUUGGGGAAAUGUAAAUCCCAUAGGCGAGAGAAGCUGCUAUGAUGAGGGCAAGAGAACUGCAGAGACCUUAGCUAUGGAUUACCAUAGAGGUGCUGAAGUUGAGGUUCGAAUUGCUCGUAUUUUUAAUACAUACGGACCCCGUAUGUGUUUAGAUGAUGGGCGUGUUGUUAGCAACUUUGUUGCACAGGCCAUCCGCAAACAGCCAUUGACUGUUUAUGGUGAUGGAAAGCAAACACGGAGCUUUCAAUAUGUCUCUGACUUGGUUAACGGUCUGGUCGCGCUAAUGGAAGGUGAACAUGUAGGGCCUUUCAACCUGGGUAAUCCAGGAGAAUUUACCAUGCUUGAGCUGGCUGAGGUUGUCAAAGAAACUAUAGAUCCAAGUGCGACAAUAGAGUUUAGAGCAAAUACUGCUGAUGAUCCUCACAAGAGAAAACCUGACAUUAGCAAAGCAAAGUCAUUGCUCAACUGGGAGCCCAAGGUCGCCCUGAGAGAAGGACUGCCUCUCAUGGUGAGCGACUUCCAGAAGCGCAUUUUGAUUGAAGAUGAAGGGAAAGGUUUCUAAUGAAGAAAAUUGCUAGGAAUUCGACAUAUCUAUGCUGUUGGUGAAAAGGUCUUCUCGGCCAGAUGCUUUGUUUUCUUAACCGAGCACGCUUCGGCAACCUGAUGUAUGGUUUUUAGAAGCAGCCCUAUCUGUUUGUAUGGGCAUUGAAUGUCCUCUUAUAUCUCUGGGCCUGUCACUCUCACCUGCCGCAUUACACUUCAUAGAUGUAUCGCUGCAAAUAGGCAUCACAUUCGUAUAUUGUAUUUGUCAACAUGAAUGAUACGCUGGUGAUGAAUUGUUUCUU